ACCGGAGCUUGCUCCACCGGAAAAAGAAGAGUGGCGAACGGGUGAGUAACACGUGGGUAACCUGCCCAUCAGAAGGGGAUAACACUUGGAAACAGGUGCUAAUACCGUAUAACAAUCGAAACCGCAUGGUUUUGAUUUGAAAGGCGCUUUCGGGUGUCGCUGAUGGAUGGACCCGCGGUGCAUUAGCUAGUUGGUGAGGUAACGGCUCACCAAGGCUACGAUGCAUAGCCGACCUGAGAGGGUGAUCGGCCACAUUGGGACUGAGACACGGCCCAAACUCCUACGGGAGGCAGCAGUAGGGAAUCUUCGGCAAUGGACGAAAGUCUGACCGAGCAACGCCGCGUGAGUGAAGAAGGUUUUCGGAUCGUAAAACUCUGUUGUUAGAGAAGAACAAGGAUGAGAGUAACUGUUCAUCCCUUGACGGUAUCUAACCAGAAAGCCACGGCUAACUACGUGCCAGCAGCCGCGGUAAUACGUAGGUGGCAAGCGUUGUCCGGAUUUAUUGGGCGUAAAGCGAGCGCAGGCGGUUUCUUAAGUCUGAUGUGAAAGCCCCCGGCUCAACCGGGGAGGGUCAUUGGAAACUGGGAGACUUGAGUGCAGAAGAGGAGAGUGGAAUUCCAUGUGUAGCGGUGAAAUGCGUAGAUAUAUGGAGGAACACCAGUGGCGAAGGCGGCUCUCUGGUCUGUAACUGACGCUGAGGCUCGAAAGCGUGGGGAGCAAACAGGAUUAGAUACCCUGGUAGUCCACGCCGUAAACGAUGAGUGCUAAGUGUUGGAGGGUUUCCGCCCUUCAGUGCUGCAGCUAACGCAU
rnacentral:rRNA from 1 species